rnacentral:rRNA from 1 species
AUUGAACGCUAGCGGCAUGCCUAACACAUGCAAGUCGAACGAGUGGCGGACGGGUGAGUAAUGUCUGGGAAACUGCCUGGUGGAGGGGGAUAACUACUGGAAACGGUAGCUAAUACCGCAUACCAUCAGAUGUGCCCAGAUGGGAUUAGCUUGUUGGUGGGGUAAAGGCUCACCAAGGCGACGAUCCCUAGCUGGUCUGAGAGGAUGACCAGCCACACUGGGACUGAGACACGGUCCAGACUCCUACGGGAGGCAGCAGUGGGGAAUAUUGCACAAUGGGGGCAAGCCUGAUGCAGCCAUGCCGCGUGUAUGAAGAAGGCCUUCGGGUUGUAAAGUACUUUCAGCGGGGAGGCGUUACCCGCAGAAGAAGCACCGGCUAACUCCGUGCCAGCCGCCGCGGUAAUAC